GUUAUUGCACCCUUAAAACCCUUUCUAUUAUCAUCAUUACUAUUAUUUUGCUGAUACAUUAAACACUCCCCAAAAAGUUCUUCUUCCUUUCUUAUGUACUCUCUUUUUUUCUUUAUAUUUUUAAGUUUAUAAUAUUUUAUAUUUUUCAAAAAUACAUGUCAAUGCAUUCAGAGCCGGAUCAAACCGCUAAACAAGGUUUUUUUUUCCAGCGUUGACGACAUGAACAGGAAGAGGGGAAGGAGGAUUGUUUGGUUUCGCCAUGGAUGAUGAUGAAGAAGGUGAAGGUUUGAGUGUUGGUGGUGAUGGUGAGAGUUGUUGAGGGUUUAAAGGCUUGUGCGUUCGAGGAUCAAUCCCUUGACUAAUCAAUUUCUUACUCAGGUGAGUGUUCCAGUAGUUCUUUAUUUCGUUAUCUGUACGCCCUGGUAUUCUUCCAGCUAUUAGUGACCACCUACAUAAAAAAAACCCAGCAAAUUCAUUCAUUCAUGUUGCAUACACACACACACACACACAUGUAUAUAUAUAUAGAAACCGUAUGCAAAAAAUGAUUACAAAAUGAAUCCAUUAAGAACCCUAAAACACUGAAACCCUAGACCUACAACUUUUUUGUACAAGAUUCGAGGUUUCUGCAUUGAAUCUAACUAAAUUCGAAGUCGAAUUAAGUUAGACAGUUUAUCUUGAGAUAUCCAGAAAUCUAAUCCAAAACCCUAAAAUGAAAUUCAUUGAAAAAAAAGAGAGGAAAAAGUUACCGAUUGCCUAAAAGGCGGUGAAGGCGGAGGAUGAGAUCUUCUUCAUCGGGAGCAAUCUGGCCACGUUUAACAGAAGGUCGGAGAUAAUUCAUCCAUCUUAGACGACAACUUUUUCCGCAUCGGAGAAGACCAGCCCGUUUAGGUAAAGUCCGCCACCGUCCUUCUCCUUCUUUGUUGAUGUAAUUAGAUAGUAACUCGUCUUCUUCCGGCGUCCAUGGCCCUCUUUUCAACCCUACUUUGCUGCAACACGGCGUCGUCUUGGUUCCAACGUUGUCUUUCUUCGUAGGGUUUCUCAUGUUUUUUUUUUUAGCUUAGAGAGAUAACUAAUUUGAUGAUCGGCGAUUUGAUGUUAGCAAUAGCUACUGUUUCUUUUUUUGUCAUUUAAUUUUUCUUACAAUAUUUUGGAAGUACUGUUGUGACUGUAUGGAUUUUGAAUCUUCACUUGCUUACCAUUUAUUGUGAA